AACGAACGCUGGCGGCAGGCCUAACACAUGCAAGUCGAGCGAAGCCUUCGGGCUUAGCGGCGGACGGGUGAGUAACGCGUGGGAACGUGCCCUUUGGUACGGAAUAGCCCCGGGAAACUGGGAGUAAUACCGUAUGUGCCCUUCGGGGGAAAGAUUUAUCGCCAAAGGAUCGGCCCGCGUUGGAUUAGGUAGUUGGUGAGGUAAUGGCCUACCAAGCCGACGAUCCAUAGCUGGUUUGAGAGGAUGAUCAGCCACACUGGGACUGAGACACGGCCCAGACUCCUACGGGAGGCAGCAGUGGGGAAUCUUAGACAAUGGGGGAAACCCUGAUCUAGCCAUGCCGCGUGAGUGAAGAAGGUCUUCGGAUUGUAAAGCUCUUUUGCCAGGGACGAUAAUGACGGUACCUGGAGAAUAAGCCCCGGCAAACUUCGUGCCAGCCGCCGCGGUAAGAC
rnacentral:rRNA from 1 species